AGGCUUGUAGCUCAGGUGGUUAGAGCGCACCCCUGAUAAGGGUAAGGUCGGUGGUUCAAGUCCACUCAGGCCUACCA
rnacentral:tRNA from 2 species